UUGGAGGAAUGAAUGGCAAUAGCCAAUGCAUUAAUAUGAUGCAAUAUCGAAGUCGAAUAAAAUUCUGGGUAGACUAUGAUAAUGACAUUAUCUAUCUAGAUGUCUUGACCAAACUACGUGCCAGCAGUCGCGGUAAUACGUUAAAGACGAGUGUUAUUCAUGUUUAAUCGGUUUAAAGAGUCCCAAGACUGUUAAUAAAGCCUAACGGGACACAUUAACUAGAGUUAUAUGAAAGGGGGCUGAGAGGUACUGUCGGGUGGAGAGAUAAAAUUCAAUUAUACAGAUGAUGGCACCAACGAAUGCGAAGGCAUCCCCUUAUGUAAUAACUGACGUUUUCAGACGAAGGCUUAGGGAAGAAAAAUGGAUUAGAUACCCUCGUAUUCUAAGCAGAAAAUGAUGAAUGUCAUAGGUUGAAGAUAAAUAAUAUUUAUUUUGGUCUAUAAAUGAAAGUGUAAGCAUUCCACCUCAAGAGUAAUUUGGCAACAUUGGAACUGAAAUCAUUAGGCCGUUUUUGAAACCAGUAGUGAAGUAUGUUGUUUAAUUUGAUAACCCGCACAAAACCUUACCACUAUUUGUAUAAAUAUUUAUAUAUAUAUUUACAAGUGUUGCACGGCUGUCUUC
rnacentral:rRNA from 1 species